rnacentral:rRNA from 1 species
AGAUCCUACGGGAGGCAGCAGUGGGGAAUAUUGCACAAUGGGGGGAACCCUGAUGCAGCGAUGCCGCGUGAAGGAAGAAGAUUUUCGGAUCGUAAACUUCUAUCAGCAAGGAAGAAAAAGGACAGUACUUGACUAAGCAGCCCCGGCUAACUACGUGCCAGCAGCCGCGGUAAUACGUAGGGGGCAAGCGUUAUCCGGAUUUAUUGGGUGUAAAGGGCGUGUAGGCGGGAAUGCAAGUCAGAUGUGAAAACUAUGGGCUCAACCCAUAGCCUGCAUUUGAAACUGUAUUUCUUGAGUGCUGGAGA